GACCUGAGAGGGUGAUCGGCCACACUGGGACUGAGACACGGCCCAGACUCCUACGGGAGGCAGCAGUAGGGAAUCUUCCGCAAUGGACGAAAGUCUGACGGAGCAACGCCGCGUGAGUGAAGAAGGUUUUCGGAUCGUAAAACUCUGUUGUAAGGGAAGAACAAGUACGUUAGUAACUGAACGUACCUUGACGGUACCUUACCAGAAAGCCACGGCUAACUACGUGCCAGCAGCCGCGGUAAUACGUAGGUGGCAAGCGUUAUCCGGAAUUAUUGGGCGUAAAGCGCGCGUAGGCGGUCUCUUAAGUCUGAUGUGAAAGCCCCCGGCUCAACCGGGGAGGGUCAUUGGAAACUG
rnacentral:rRNA from 1 species